rnacentral:rRNA from 1 species
UAAUACAUCGGAACGUGCCCGAUCGUGGGGGAACGGAGCGAAAGCUUUGCUAAUACCGCAUACGAUCUACGGAUGAAAGCAGGGGACCGCGGCCUUGCGCGGACGGAGCGGCCGAUGGCAGAUUAGGUAGUUGGUGGGAUAAAAGCUUCAAGCCGACGAUCUGUAGCUGGUCUGAGAGGACGACCAGCCACACUGGGACUGAGACAGCCCAGACUCCUACGGGAGGCAGCAGUGGGGAAUUUUGGACAAUGGGCGCAAGCCUGACAGCCAUGCCGCGUGCAGGAUGAAGGCCUUCGGGUUGUAAACUGCUUUUGUACGGAACAAAGACUCUUUCUAAUAAAGAGGGUCCAUGACGGUACCGUAAGAAUAAGCACCGGCUAUACGUGCCAGCAGCCGCGGUAAUACGUAGGGUGCAAGCGUUAAUCGGAAUUACUGGGCAAAGCGUGCGCAGGCGGUGAUGUAAGACAGAUGUGAAAUCCCCGGGCUCAACCUGGGAUGCAUUUGUGACUGCAUCGCUGGAGUACGGCAGAGGGGGAUGGAAUUCCGCGUGUAGCUGAAAUGCGUAGAUAUGCGGAGGAACACCGAUGGCGAAGGCAAUCCCCUGGGCCUGUAGACGCUCAUGCACGAAAGCGUGGGGAGCAAACAGGAUUAGAUACCCUGGUAGUCCACGCUAAACGAUGUCAACUGGUUGUUGGGUCUUCACUGACUCAGUAACGAAGCUAACGCGU